CCUACGGGAGGCAGCAGUGGGGAAUUUUGCGCAAUGGGGGAAACCCUGACGCAGCAACGCCGCGUGAGUGAUGAAGGCCUUCGGGUCGUAAAGCUCUUUUAGUGGGGAAGAAACGCCUCAGGGUAAAUAAUCCUGAAGUCUGACGGUACCCACAGAAAAAGUUCCGGCUAACUACGUGCCAGCAGCCGCGGUAAUACGUAGGGAGCAAGCGUUGUUCGGAAUUAUUGGGCGUAAAGAGCGCGUAGGCGGCCAGGUAAGUCUGAUGUGAAAUCCCACAGCUCAACUGUGGAACUGCAUUGGAAACUGCUUGGCUAGAGUGCGGGAGAGGAGAGUGGAAUUCCCAGUGUAGAGGUGAAAUUCGUAGAUAUUGGGAGGAACACCAGUGGCGAAGGCGGCUCUCUGGACCGCAACUGACGCUGAGGCGCGAAAGCUAGGGGAGCGAACGGGAUUAGAUACCCCGGUAGUCCUAGCCGUAAACGAUGGGCACUAGGUGUGGGAGGUAUCGACCCCUUCUGUGCCGCAGCUAACGCAUUAAGUGCCCCGCCUGGGGAGUACGGUCGCAAGACUAAAACUCAAAGGAAUUGACGG
rnacentral:rRNA from 1 species